UACGGAGGGGACUAGCGUUGUUCGGAAUUACUGGGCGUAAAGCGCACGUAGGCGGAUUUGUAAGUCAGGGGUGAAAUCCCGGGGCUCAACCUCGGAACUGCCUUUGAUACUGCAAAUCUCGAGUCCGGAAGAGGUGAGUGGAAUUCCUAGUGUAGAGGUGAAAUUCGUAGAUAUUAGGAAGAACACCAGUGGCGAAGGCGGCUCACUGGGCCGGUACCGACGCUGAGGUGCGAAAGCGUGGGGAGCAAACAGG
rnacentral:rRNA from 1 species